rnacentral:rRNA from 1 species
GACGAACGCUGGCGGCGUGCUUAACACAUGCAAGUCGAACGGUAAGGCCCUUCGGGGUACACGAGUGGCGAACGGGUGAGUAACACGUGGGUGAUCUGCCCUGCACUUCGGGAUAAGCCUGGGAAACUGGGUCUAAUACCGGAUAGGACUCCUGGCUUCAUGGGUGGGGGUGGAAAGCUUUGGCGGUGUGGGAUGGGCCCGCGGCCUAUCAGCUUGUUGGGGGGGUAAUGGCCUACCAAGGCGACGACGGGUAGCCGGCCUGAGAGGGUGACCGGUCACACUGGGACUGAGAUACGGCCCAGACUCCUACGGGAGGCAGCAGUGGGGAAUAUUGCACAAUGGGCGCAAGCCUGAUGCAGCGACGCCGCGUGAGGGAUGACGGCCUUCGGGUUGUAAACCUCUUUCAGCUAUGACGAAGCGCAAGUGACGGUAGUGGCAGAAGAAGGACCGGCCAACUACGUGCCAGCCGCCGCGGUAA